AUGGUAUAUAUUGCACAUGUUGUUGCUACAACAUAUGUUGUUGAGGCAUGCACUGGGGUUAACAUUGCAAUCAUGGUUGGUGGGUUUCCAAGGAAAGAAGGCAUGGAGAGGAAAGAUGUGAUGUCAAAAAAUGUGUCAAUUUACAAGACUCAGGCUUCUGCCCUUGAAAAGCAUGCAGCUGCAAACUGCAAGGUUUUGGUUGUUGCCAACCCAGCAAAAUACCAAUGCACUGAUAUUGAAGGAAUUCGCACCAUCAAUCCCUGAGAAAAAUAUUACUUGUUUGACUAGACUCGAUCAUAACAGAGCCUUGGGCCAGAUUUCUGAAAGGCUAAAUGUUCAAGUUUCUGAUGUUAAAAAUGUUAUUAUCUGGGGCAAUCACUCAUCAACCCAGUAUCCUGAUGUCAGCCAUGCAACAGUGAAAACAUAUUCUGGAGAGAAGCCAGUCCCCGAGCUUGUUGAUGAUGAUGCAUGGAUGAAGGGAGAAUUCAUAACUAUCGUUCAACAACGUGGUGCUGCAAUUAUCAAACCUAGGAAACUAUCAAGUGCAUUGUCUGCUGCUAGUUCUGCUUGUGACCACAUACGUGACUGGGUGCUUGGAACCCCCGAGGGCACUUGGGUUUCCAUGGGAGUAUACUCUGAUGGUUCAUACAAUGUACCAGCCGGACUCAUUUAUUCAUUCCCUGUCACUUGUCGCAAUGGAGAGUGGACGAUAGUCCAGGGACUUUCAAUCGAUGAAUACUCGAGGAAGAAGCUGGACUUGACAGCAGAGGAGCUCACUGAGGAGAAGGCCUUGGCUUACUCAUGCCUCUCUUGAAUGCUCUUGUUCCUUCUCUAAUGUGGUAGUACGUCCGGCUCUUUCUUGUGUGUCAACUGAAGUAGCUGGAGUUUUGAAUAAUGCCAUUGUUAAAGAUUUAGAGGAACUGUUAAUGAUGGAGAAGCUGCUUCUAUGUAUUUUAUACUCUUUGCGGCUUGCAUUUCUACUUGGAUGCUUGAAUUUAUAACUAUCAUCCUAAUUAAUGGAUUUUAUCAACUUAAUAUUUGAAUGUA